CCUACGGGCGGCAGCAGUGGGGAAUAUUGCACAAUGGGCGCAAGCCUGAUGCAGCCAUGCCGCGUGUGUGAAGAAGGCCUUCGGGUUGUAAAGCACUUUCAGCGGGGAGGAAGGCGUUAAGGUUAAUAACCUUGUCGAUUGACGUUACCCGCAGAAGAAGCACCGGCUAACUCCGUGCCAGCAGCCGCGGUAAUACGGAGGGUGCAAGCGUUAAUCGGAAUUACUGGGCGUAAAGCGCACGCAGGCGGUCUGUCAAGUCGGAUGUGAAAUCCCCGGGCUCAACCUGGGAACUGCAUUCGAAACUGGCAGGCUAGAGUCUUGUAGAGGGGGGUAGAAUUUCAGGUGUAGCGAUGAAAUGCGUAGAGAUCUGGAGGAAUACCGGUGGCGAAGGCGGCCCCCUGGACAAAGACUGACGCUCAGGUGCGAAAGCGUGGGGAGCAAACAGGAUUAGAUACCCGGGUAGUC
rnacentral:rRNA from 1 species